rnacentral:lncRNA from 10 species
AUUUGUUUAAUAUUUUUAUGUAGUGCUUUACAUAAAUUGUAAUACUAUUAUUGCAAAAGCAGCUCAACCUUAUUACAGAAAGCAGAAAUACAGAAAAUUAUGUAAAAAGAAAGUCCAUUUUUCUCCUCUCCUUUGACCUGUCCGUCUCCCCUUCCCCCUUUUCCCUCCUCCCCCUUCUUUCCAUCCACCUGCUCACCUGUUUAAUCCUGUGAAGAAACAAUUCCGGAGGCUGGAAAUCCAGGAUCAGGAGCCAGCAUGUUCGGAUUCAGGCAGGGGACGUCUUCCGGCUUGCAGAUGGCUGCCUUCUCAUCAUGUCCUCACGUGACAGCAGGGAGGCACCAGCCCUCUGGCCUCUGCUUCUGCGGGGCAGGAGCCUGGGCCUGGCCUAGAGCCUGCUGCUGGAAGCCUCAUAGCCGGCUGUGGAUCCAUUCGCUGCCUGUGUUCUCAUCUGGAAGCUCCCCUGGGAGGAACCUGUCCUUUCCCUGUGGCUGUGGGCUGGAGGCCACCCCUAGGUCUGCCACAUGGCCCUCUCCGUGGGCAGUGCAACCUCAGCUCACUUCUUCCAGGCCACAGGAGACGCGCUCCAGCUAAGCAGUGUGGCCACCGAGUGACAUCCCUGUGGCAUAUCUUGUUGGCUAGAAGCAAGGCACAAGUCCCACCCAUGCUCAAGUGGAGGGGCUUACACAGGGUCCAAGAUCAUGAGAUUAUCUUGGAAUUCUGCCUACGACAGGGGCCUCCUCCCGUGUAUUUGUGUACACAGCCCUUCAUAUCCACAGAGACCUGAGAAGACGUUAUACACAGACCCACACACGAGGCUGGCUCUCUUGGCUGGGAAGCGUCUGGAGCUCUCCUCCCUUCCCCACGGGUCCUCGGGGUUUGGAGGCUGCAGGGAAGUUGCAUGGAGCUCUUCCGCUCACGUAUCUGUUUCUAUCCACGAAUUCAUCUGAGGGCUGAAAGGCCUCAUGGGAAAAAUGGGACUGAGCUCUGACCACUCCUAUCUCCCACCAGUGGCCCAAGUGGGUCAGUCCUAAUUCUGCAUUCCUCAGGACACAGUGUGGCUGAAGGGUGGGCAUGGGAUAUAGCCAGACCCACAGGGACUCUCCCAGGACUGCUGCUAGGGCUGGCAGGAGUCACAGCCUCUUCCUUCCCUGGCUGCAAGAUGUCCCUGGGCCUGCCAGGGCUGUAGGUCUAGCAGACAUGGCCAGAGUCUCUCAGCAGCAGGAGAGAUUGAAGCCAAAACCACGGGAGAAGCAGAGACAGUGACCUAAUGGCUCGCCUGAGCCCCUGGAUACGGCCAGGUCUGAAAUCCGCAGCGGACUCCCUCAUUGGGCUUGGAGGCUUCUCUGUGGCCUUCCCCAAAGGCAGCAUCAGGUAGGUGACAAUGAGGGUGGCUCAUGGGCUCAUGGGGGUGUUAGAGGAACCCCUGCUUACCAGGCCCCUGGUUUAAUAAAACAUGACUAGAGUGACUCCAUCUUGAAGUGAGUAGCUAGGCACUCACAAGAAUAUUCAAGGUCUGAAAAUAGCCACAUUCUAAGCCGACCACCAAUUAAAACAACAAAAAUAUCAUCUGCCACCACGCCUGCAGAAUGCCCACAUGUCUGGAGAAUACAGCCCUCUUUCCUUCAAGAUAACAUCGAUGAGCAAGCUUAGGUUGAAGGAUUAAUGGUCAUCAAUAACACCAAUAGCCCCGCCUCUAGUGAGCACAUCUGCACAUUCCAAGUUUCAUUACCACUCCUUAGAGUUUCUUUUUCUUUUUGAGACAGAUUUUCACUCUUGUCGCCCAGGCUGGAGUGCAGUGGUGCAAUCUUGGCUCACCACAACCUCCACCUCCUGGGUUCAGGUGAUUCUCCCGCCUCAGCCUCACGAGUAGCUGGGAUUACAGGCACGCGCCACAAUGCCCGGCUAAUUUUUUUUUUUUUUUUUUUUUUUUUUUAGUAGAGAGGGGGUUUCACCGUGUUGGUCAGGCUGGUCUUCAACUCCUGACCUCAGGUGAUCCGCCCGCCUCAGCCUCCCAAAGUGUUGGGAUUACAGGCGUGAACCACCGCGCCCGGCCUCCUUAGAGUUUCUUAUAAGCAGCGACACCAACACAGGACAGUGCACUCCUCCUCCUUCUUCCCGAGGAUGCCCCACUCUGUAACAGAGUCGUUUCCAGUAAACUCGCUUCUUUCACUGUGCUCUGUGAUUUGCCUUGAAUUCUUUCCUAUGCAAGAUCCAAGAAUCCUCUCGUGGGGUCUGGAUCGGGAAUCUCUUUUCCGGCAACAGGAGCACCCCCCUGGGAAACCAUAAGCACAUCUUGGGAAAGGCUAUGGUUCCCACUGGGAAAGGGAGUGGAGGCUGGCACCAUCCUUUCAGCUAUCAUGCUUAGAAAACCAGCUUUACGAAGAUACAACUUAUGCUCAAGAGGCUACAUUCAAUUAGAGUGGACAAUUCAAUGAGUGUUGACAGCUGUCCACACCUGUGACACUGCCACCAUAUUCAUGGCCCAGAACACUUUCCUUUUUCUUUUUUUUUUUUUGAGACGGGGUCUUGCUCUGUCGCCCAGGCUGGAGUGCAGUAGUGCAAUCUCGGCUCACUGCAAGCUCCGCCUCCUGGGUUCACGCCAUUCUCCUGCCUCAGCCUCCCGAGUAGCUGGGACUACAGGCGCCCACCACCAUGCCUGACUAAUUUUGUUUUUGUAUUUUUAGUAGAGACGGGGUUUCACCGUGUUAGCCAGGAUUGAUUCGAUCUCCUGACCUUGUGAUCCACCCGCUCGGCCUCCCAAAGUGCUGGGAUUACAGGCGUGAGCCACUGCGCCCGACGUGGCCCAGAACAUUUUCAUCCUGUUUCUUGUGCCCCUUUGCAGUGAAUUCUCCCCUGGAAUUACUGACAACCACAAAUCUGCUCUUUUGUCAUUAUAGAAGCUCAUAGAAAUGGAAUUAUACAAUUUGUACUCUUCUGUGUCUGUUUAUUCUUUUUCUGGGGGGGGGGGGGGCGGCGUUGCCCAGCAUCAUGUUUUUGAGAUGAAUCCAUGUUGAUGGAUGUACCAGUAAUUCUGUCUUUCUUGUUUUAUGUUUAUGUGGUUUUGCUGAAUAGUACUGUAGGGAUGUACCACAGUUGUUUUUUUGUUUUUUGGGUUUUCUUUUAAUCAGGGUCUUGCUCUGUCACCCAGGCUUGAUUGCAGUGGCAUACAACGUCCAGGCUCAAGCGAUCCUCCCACCUCAGCCUCUCAAGUAGCUGGGACUACAGGUGCAUGCCACCAUGCCCGGCUAAUUUUUGUGUGUGCAUAGAGAUGGGGUCUCACUAUGUUGUCAGGGCUGGUCUCAAACUCCUGGGCUCAAGCAAUCCUCCUGCCUUGGCCUCCCAAUGUGCUGGGGUUACAGGCGUCACCCACUGCGCCCAGUGCAUUCACUCUAGGGCUGUUUUGUUAAACCAGGGGCCUGGUAAGCAGGGGCUCCUCUAACACUCCCAUGGGCCCAUGAGCCACCCUCAUUGUUACCUGCCUGAUGCUGCGUUUGUUUAUCCAUUCAUCUGUUUGUGCACACUUGGGUUGCUUCCAGUUUUUGAUGUUUAGGAAUAAAGCUGCCAUGAAGAUUCACAUUCAAGUUUUUGUGUGGACAUGUGCUUUCAUUUCUCUUGGGUAAAACGUAGGCGCGGAAUUGCUGGGCCAUUCUUAAUUUUAGAAGAAGCCACCACAGUGUUGUUUCACAGCAGCUCCACCAUCUUGCACUCCCGAUGGCGGCGUGCAAGAGCCUCGGCUGCCCCACUCCUCCCCAGCACAUGACGUUGCUGCACCAGGGUGUCAUUUUCACUGUCCUAGGGGGGCCGAAGUGGCUUAUGAUUGUGGGUUUCAUUUGUAUUUGCCUGAUGACUAAUGAAGUGCGAUGAUUUUCGCAUGCUGUUUUGGCCUUCUGUAUGCAGUAUCUUCCUCUGUGAAGUGUCUGAUGGAUUCUUUUGCCAAUUUGUUUUUGUUGGGUUGUUCAUCGGGAUCAUGUUUUUAAUGGCAAACGUCAAAGCCAGCCCAUAUGUGUUCCCAUGACACCCCUGUCAUGUUUAUGCGUGCACUCAAGCGCACGUGCGUGCACCCACAUACCAAUUCUCUUUUUUUUUUUUUGUUUUUUUCGAGACGGAGUCUCGCU